GAUGAACGCUGGCGGCGUGCCUAAUACAUGCAAGUCGAGCGAACGGACGAGAAGCUUGCUUCUCUGAUGUUAGCGGCGGACGGGUGAGUAACACGUGGAUAACCUACCUAUAAGACUGGGAUAACUUCGGGAAACCGGAGCUAAUACCGGAUGAUAUUUUGAACCGCAUGGUUCAAAAGUGAAAGACGGUCUUGCUGUCACUUAUAGAUGGAUCCGCGCUGCAUUAGCUAGUUGGUAGGGUAACGGCUUACCAAGGCAACGAUGCAUAGCCGACCUGAGAGGAUGAGCAGCCACACUGGGACUGAGACACGGCCCAGACUCCUACGGGAGGCAGCAGUGGGGAAUUUUGGACAAUGGGGGAAACCCUGAGGCAGCAACGCCGCGUGAGGGAAGAAGGUCUUCGGGUUGUAAAACUCUUUUGUUAGGGAAGAAAAUAUGUGGGAGAAUAUGCCGGGGUCAUGACGGUACCGAAAGAAAAAGCACCGGCUAACUACGUG
rnacentral:rRNA from 1 species